CACUUGCAUCAUCUUCAUAUGGCCUCCAGUAUCACGAAUAUUAAAAUUAUUUGUCAAUUUGAGGCCCGGAGUAGCCAUCAAAGCAUUUUGACCAUAGCGCUGAAGCCCCGCCCUCCCGAGGUGUAAGAAGCUAGGAGGAAAUUUCUGAGAGACAGCAGCGUCGCAACAAGGAUCCUCGGAAUCUCUGCAGCUAUUGCAAGCUUAUUUGAGUGGUCGACAAAUUGUGUGCGAUUCACCUCAUGCUCACGAUUUUCACUCGCCUGUUUGUUUUGACGUGAGCACUGCCCUACGGGUCCUCAGUCACUCCACGGCCACUGCCCUGCGCUUUCUGGUGGAGAAUCAUGGCUGGAGCACCAACUUCCUCACCACGGCUUGGUUCUUGGAACAGUACCUGAAGGCGUCCAAGGCAGGGUCCUACGAACUGGACGAUGCCUCCUUUUACCUGGCUGACCUCGCAGACUUGGAUGUACAACCUGCUGUGCUCACCGACAUUUUUCUUGAGGAGAGGCACGAGACCCG